GGGAGAAGCAGUAUCGUGCAGGGCGGGCACGCUGGUCUUGCUUACAGUUGGGCUUCGAUUUUAUAGGUUCAGAAAGUGUGUCUCAGAGGAGUUAGAGAAGACCGAUUAAUAGAUGACAGUGCUAAAGCCUGGAUCUCCUGAAUCCUGGUUUGAGGGAAGUUCUAUGAAAUCUAACUUGAUGAACAUUAUUCCCCCUGCUGAUACCAAAAGUCCUGACUUGUAAGGAGGACAAAGCUGAGAUGAAAGUGUCCUAAGUUAGAUUCCUGGGAAGAAAAUUCUGAGACACAUUCUGCAGGAUGAUUAUUAGGGCUCAUCCUUGGUUUCAACACCCAUAGAAAGAAGGGGGAAGAAGAAAUCGAACAGAGAGACAGAAGUCGAGAUGCAUUUCAGGCCAGGACUCUUGGCUGAACGCACAGGAGCUCUGGAGCUAGAAUGGCCCUUCAGAGUUGUCCUGAGUUGGUCUGAGAUGGCCAGUUCUUUAUAUUCCUGCAUGGGAUAGUCACUGGAUGUCCACCCCAGGAAGGGGUGUGGCCGAGACAGUCCCUGAAAUGCCCGCCAGCACUCCCUACACCUGGAGCGACAAGACCAACAUCACAGGGGGAAUGCACUGGGUGAUGGAUCACAGCGUUCAUCCCAGAAGAUGAGGAUUCAGAAUUGGCUGACAGCUACGUUCUAAAUGUCAGUGUUCUCCAAAAUUCAUAUGUUGAAACUUAAUUCCCAAUGUGAUGGCAUUAGGAAGUGGGGCCUUUGGGGGAGGGACUAUAGGUCAUGAGGGUGUAACCCUCAUCAAUGGGAUUAGUGUCCAGAGAGCUGCCUUGCCCUUCCACCAUGUGAGGACAUAGUGAGAAGGUGCCAUCUAUGAACUAGGAAGUGGGCGCUUACCACCAGACACCCACUCUUCUGGCAACUUGAUCUUGAAUUUCCCAGCCUCCAGAACUCUGAGAAAUCAAUUUCUGUUAAUUAUAAGCUACCCAGUCAAUAGCAUUUUGUUAAAGCCGCUGGAACUAAACUAAGAC
rnacentral:lncRNA from 1 species